AACGAACGCUGGCGGCGCGCCUAAUACAUGCAAGUCGAGCGAGAAGACGUAGCAAUACGUUUGUAAAGCGGCGAACGGGUGAGGAAUACAUGGGUAACCUACCCUCGAGUGGGGAAGUAACUAGCCGAAAGGUUAGCUAAUACCGCGUACGCUCCUUGGACUUCGGUUCAGGGAGGAAAGCGAUACCGUGGGUAUCGCGCUCUUGGAUGGGCUCAUGUCCUAUCAGCUUGUUGGUGAGGUAACGGCUCACCAAGGCUUCGACGGGUAGCUGGUCUGAGAGGACGAUCAGCCACACUGGCACUGCGACACGGGCCAGACUCCUACGGGAGGCAGCAGUAAGGAAUAUUGCGCAAUGGGCGAAAGCCUGACGCAGCGACGCCGCGUGGGGGAGUGAAGGU
rnacentral:rRNA from 1 species